rnacentral:sRNA from 1 species
CGUCUCUGCCCUUCCUGGGCGUUUCCUCCCUAAUGAACUGGCCGCGCCGCUUGGCGCGGCCUUUUUUUUCGGAAGG